rnacentral:piRNA from 1 species
UAUAUAGGCCUAGGGGAGGCGUGUCU